GAGCAUCUCAUUUAUACUGAAUCAUCAGAGAAUUAACAAGGUAAUUGCCAAUAACUGCCAUGUAAAGAAAACUAAAGCAGUUCAGUGAAGAGUGAAUUUA